rnacentral:rRNA from 1 species
AGCAUAUCAAUAAGCGGAGGAAAAGAAACCAACAGGGAUUGCCCUAGUAACGGCGAGUGAAGCGGCAAAAGCUCAGAUUUGAAAUCCGGUGUCCUCUUUGGGCAUCUUGAGUUGUAAUCUGUAGAGGAGGUCUUUUGAUCAGACAUUGGUCCAAGUCCCUUGGAAGAGGGUGUCAUAGAGGGUGAGAACCCCGUGCAUGGCCUUUGCUCUGUGUCAUUAUAAGUCUUUCUUCAACGAGUCGAGUUGUUUGGGAAUGCAGCUCUAAAUGGGUGGUAAAUUCCAUCUAAGGCUAAAUAUUGGCAAGAGACCGAUAGCGCACAAGUAGAGUAAUCGAAAGAUGAAAAGAACUCUGGACAGAGAGUUAAAUAGUACGUGAAAUUGUUGAAAGGGAAGCACUUGCCACCAGACUCAGGUACGGACAGAUCAGGCUUCGGUUUCCGGAGCUGCACUCUGUUCUGCCGUGGUUAGCAUCAGUUUCUGCGGUGGGAAAAGGGCUGAAGGGAAUGUAGCUCCUCCUCGGAGAAGUGUUAUAGCCCCUCGCUACAACUGCCUGCAGAGACUGAGGAUAGCUCCAUCGGAAUGGAUGCUGACUUAAUGGUUGUAAGUGACCCGUCUG